rnacentral:lncRNA from 7 species
GAAAGAUAAUCAAGUUUUUCUGGACUUGGCUCCAAGUCAGAUGUGAUUUGAUUUGGAUUGCAGACAGCCCGAGGAAGCGGCUCGGAGGCAUCUCGAAGACUUGGAUCUGGUUCCUGGCCUCGCGGAAUGAGAAUCCGGAGACUGUGCUCACAUUUCCAUGGCUGGGGGUGAUCUCCGUUCUGUGGCAGGAGCCUGGAGCCCGGGGAUUGAAGAGCUCUGCUCCUCGGCUUGUGAGACAGAAUGACCGCAGGUGCUGAGAGAGAGCAGGAAAUCAUCUUUGUAAAGCUGUCCAGAAAGCCUUGAAUUCAGCCUUAUCUGGAGGAUUACCCCACGCUGUUCAGUUCUUGGCAUUCAGCUCCUCUGCAGUCCCCAGCUUCAGCACAGGAAACUCCUUCACCUAGCUGCUGCCAGCAUGCUUUUGGCGACCCUGGCUGUCCCGUCAGCUGUUACAGGCCAUUAAAGGAUUUGUUUCUCGGC